GGCUGGCGACAUUUGAAGCUGGACAAAGAAUUUCUCGGACAGAGAGGUUGUGAAAAACUCUGAGUUAGGAUUUGCUGGGAGCUGUCUGAAUGAACGAGCAUCAUUAUGUGUGUGAGAGCUCAUCACUGCUCCUUCUGGAUGUGCCGUGCUGCACGCUGUGUCCCUGUGAUUUGGGAGGAGGCCAGGAAGGAUGCAACACCAGAAGAAAGCCAUGGCAGUGAAGGAAUGAGUCUGGCUGAGGAUCUUCAGGAGCUCCCAGCCUGGAGAAGAUGCCUCUUUUUAGGAGAAGCUGCGAUCUUUUUUCAAGGAAACAGAGUUUCUUCCAUGUUCCCCGCCCCCUUACACGGAGCCCCGGUGGUUUUUACCCUGUCUCUGAGAAGUGUCCAUCUCCAGUGCAGUUCUCUGAAUGUCAGGAGCUAUUUCGGUCCUCUCUAGGAAGAAUUCCUAUAUCUUCCAUCUGUGUCUGCACCUGAUGGCUGUCUGUCAUGCUGAAGUCUAACCAAGAGAGCGCUCGGAGCCCGGAGAGCAGCCUCGCCAACCCUCCACACUGCAUAUAAAUGCACAGCUUCCCUCGCCUGCCUAUAGGCCUGUUGUCUGGGCACAAGAGCUCUUUUUGGAUGAAUUUAUUCUGUUCCCAUUCUGCAUCCCAUCACCAUGAGCUGAUUUGAUGCCAGAUCCCGCUCUGAAGGUGAAAUGGUCCCCCUCCUCCUCGGAGCUGCUGCAUGGCAAGAUCAGAGGGGAAGAGGCAGUCUCCGUCAGUACCUCCAGAGCCUAAUCUCGAUCAAAGCACCCCGGGGGAUAUUGCAGUCUCUCGGCAUCCCACAGGGUCAUCUCUGGCUCUGCCUGGCGGUGCCACGAUGUCCAGGGCGAACACAGCUGCUCUCAAACCUGGUAGGGCUUCAAAGCAGAAACAAAGCAGGCUAUGGGCUGAUGAAGGUGAAAACCUGUAUGAAAACAAAUUAGAACAGGAAGCCAGACAGUAACAAACAACACCACUGGUGGGAUGCCUUCCCCCAUGUAUGCCCAUCUUUUGUCUCCCUUGCAGUUCUUACUGUGCCUGCAAGGGAAAGGAGGCAAGAAAAUCUCAAAAUUAACUCCUUGUUAACUAAAGAAUAACAAAUACCUCUGUAUUUGAAUGUGUUCUGAUACUAAAUAAAGAUCCGAUGUUUUC
rnacentral:lncRNA from 1 species